UGCUUUCCACUAACCUCAUGUGCUGUACCAUCAUACAAUAGCUGUGGUAUUUCUGGUUAAAAUAGGUACUUUGUAAAUCGUAAUCAUUCUAUAUAAAUCAUUGUUGGUUGCAGAAAACGUUCAGUGUCGGUACUUACGGGCUAACUAGUCAAUUUAUCGGGAUUCAUAUCGUACAAUCAUCGUUUUAGUUUUGUCUUGAAUUACUGUAAGAUCAAAUUAAGCAAUCAUCAAUUUUAUCGGUGCUUAAUUUACCUAUCGGCUUACGUUAAUUCUUUUCUAGGCAUUACUAAUUCAAACUAUUCAUAUUUGUACAUCAUUUCAUACGUCAUUAAGCGUUAAAUAUCGUACUAUAUUUGCAAAACAUAUUGAAAUAUAGUUUCAUAAUUCACGAAAUCGAAUUAAUAUUUUUAUUUU
rnacentral:misc_RNA from 1 species